CUUGCUCCCAGGCGUCGAGCGGCGGACGGGUGAGUAACGCGUAGGAAUCUACCCAGUAGCGGGGGAUAGCCCGGGGAAACCCGGAUUAAUACCGCAUACGCCCCACGGGGGAAAGGCCGGGAUCUUCGGACCGGUCACUAUUGGAGGGGCCUGCGUUGGAUUAGCUAGUUGGUAGGGUAAAGGCCUACCAAGGCGACGAUCCAUAGCUGUUCUGAGAGGAAGAUCAGCCACACUGGAACUGAGACACGGUCCAG
rnacentral:rRNA from 1 species